GCCAGUAUAGCUCAGUUGGUAGAGCGCUCGAUUUGUAAUCGAAAGGUCGCGGGUUCGAAUCCCGCUGCUGGCUCCA
rnacentral:tRNA from 1 species